UGCCUUGAAGAUCGGAGUGCUUGCACUCUGUGAAACAAGAUACAGGCUAGCGGCGGACGGGUGAGUAACACGUGGGUAACCUGCCCAAGAGAUCGGGAUAACACCUGGAAACAGAUGCUAAUACCGGAUAACAACAGAUGAUGCCUAUCAACUGUUUAAAAGAUGGUUCUGCUAUCACUCUUGGGAUGGGACCUGCGGUGCAUUAGCUAGUUGGUAGGGGUAACGGGCUACCAAGGCGAUGAUGCAUAGCCGAGUUGAGAGACUGAUCGGCCACAUUGGGACUGAGACACGGCCCAAACUCCUACAGGAGGCAGCAGUAGGGAAUCUUCCACAAUGGACGCAAGUCUGAUGGAGCAACGCCGCGUGAGUGAAGAAGGGUUUCGGCUCGUAAAGCUCUGUUGUUGGUGAAGAAGGACAGGGGGUAGUAACUGACCUUUGUUUGACGGUAAUCAAUUAGAAAGUCACGGCUAACUACGUGCCAGCAGCCGCGGUAAAU
rnacentral:rRNA from 1 species